rnacentral:ncRNA from 1 species
GGUCAAGAGUUCCUGCGUCAAGCUCCGGCUCGUGGGACGGCAACCCUCCAACCGCGGUGGGGUGCUCCGGAUGAAGACCUGGCCUGCUUCGGCAGGCAAGCGCGGGU